AACAUCAGGAAGAACUGAAGCUGUUUUGUGAAACAGACAAGAACGUGAUUUGUGUGAUCUGUCGAGAUGCGCGGGAACACAAGUCUCACAGCUUUACACCGAUAGAAGAAGCUGUUGAAAUCUACAAGGAUCAGGUGCAAUCUUCCUUCGAAUCUCUCACAAAAAAUAAAUCAGAGAUCGAGCAAAUGGAGCAGCAAGAGGAAGAGAAGAUUUCUGUUGUUCUGGAAGAGUCACACAACCUUCAGUCACAGAUCACAUCCCAGUUUGCUGAACUGCACCAGAUUUUGACUGAGAAAGAGUGGUGUGUACUCGCAGAUAUCCGAGAAGAAGAGGUGAAAAUUCGGAACGCAAUGGAGAAAAGUCUUCAAGAGAUUCAAGCAAAUUUAAACUCCAUACAAAGGG